UACGUAGGGUGCGAGCGUUGUCCGGAAUUACUGGGCGUAAAGCGUGCGUAGAUGGUUACGUAAGUCGGAUGUGAAAGCCCCGGGCUCAACCUGGGAAUUGCAUUCGAGACUGCAUAGCUAGGAUGCGGAAGAGGGAAGCGGAAUUUCCGGUGUAGCGGUGAAAUGCGUAGAUAUCGGAAGGAACACCAGUGGCGAAAGCGGCUUCCUGGUCCAGCAUCGACGUUCAGGCACGAAAGCGUGGGGAGCAAACAGG
rnacentral:rRNA from 1 species